UACAGAGGGGGCAAGCGUUGUUCGGAAUUACUGGGCGUAAAGGGCUCGUAGGCGGCCAACUAAGUCACACGUGAAAUCCCCAGGCUUAACCUGGGAACUGCGUGUGAUACUGGAUGGCUUGAAUCCGGGAGAGGGAUGCGGAAUUCCAGGUGUAGCGGUGAAAUGCGUAGAUAUCUGGAGGAACACCGGUGGCGAAGGCGGCAUCCUGGACCGGUAUUGACGCUGAUGAGCGAAAGCCAGGGGAGCAAACGGG
rnacentral:rRNA from 1 species